GAUGAACGCUGGCGGCGUGCUUAACACAUGCAAGUCGAACGGAAAGGCCGAAGCUUGCUUCGGUACUCGAGUGGCGAACGGGUGAGUAACACGUGGGUGAUCUGCCCUGUACUUCGGGAUAAGCUUGGGAAACUGGGUCUAAUACCGGAUAUGACGAUCUCUUGGAUGGGGUUGUGGAAAGCUUUUGCGGUAUGGGAUGAGCUCGCGGCCUAUCAGCUUGUUGGUGGGGUAAUGGCCUACCAAGGCGUCGACGGGUAGCCGGCCUGAGAGGGUGUACGGCCACAUUGGGACUGAGAGACGUCCCAGACUCCGACGUGGGGAAGGAGUGGGGAGUAUUGCACAAUGGGCGCAAGCCUGAUGCAGCGACGCCGCGUGGGGGAUGACGGCCUUCGGGUUGUAGACUCCUUUCGCAGUCGACGAAGCCUUUUGGUGACGGUAGGUUGAGAAGAAGCACCGGCUAACUACGUG
rnacentral:rRNA from 1 species